UGGGUAAAUUUCAUUUGACCUAUUUUAUUGGUAAAAUUUACCUAGAAAAUCAGUAAUAUUUACUCAUAUUCUGAACAAACCGACUUUACCCAUAUUUGAGUAAUUUCAUUUACCCAUAUUUGGUUGAAAAAAUAAACAUAAACAAAUCCGGUUUAUGGCUGCCGUGUCGCUGUCGAAAAAAGUUUUCACUCUUUCAACGUGAUUGCGAUUACAAACAAAGAUGUAGUUCGUAAACAAAAGGAAAAUGAGUUCUGACAAUCGGUAGCAGCAGAUUGACCUGCUUGCAAACGGCCUCGUCGAUGGGACAGUAGAUUGCCUGAACAGGAAACAAUUCCCGAAUCAUCGUUAUCGUCCCAUCAUCGUUAAUUCCUGGGAACAUCGGAUUCAACUAUAGUACAUUGUGCUGUCCAACGAUCGUCAUUGCACCUGGUUGAUAUUGAUCUGAUCCGAAGGUCAUCGCAUAGCCACAAAUAAGACGAUCUUUCUACGCCAUCGCUCCCCAUGAUAACCACAAAGGCCAUCGUUUUCCGCCUUCAUUAGUGGGAGGCAUUGAAGCUUUUACCAAUAUCUUCCGUUGUCCGUGCACAAACGACAGCUACUACUAUUCCGGAAAUCUUUUAUAUGAAUUGAAUCGUGAAAUUAUCUUGGUUGACAAGGUGGUGCAAACAUGUGCAGAGCCAUGGUUAAAGUGCUCUUCAAAAUCUACGAGAGUAGCGGACUAACGGUCCUAGGGGCACGGGCCCAUAGAAUGCAGAAACUCGCCAAAUCAACAGCGAUCACUACCGGCCGCCCGCUUUACCGUGUUCACCACCAUACGAAUUAUAUAAAUCUGUUCUGGUUACAUGCUGCAAGCAGGAAUCAACACUUCAUGAUGCCAUUAGGAUAUUUUGAUUGCAGAGGAAUGGCACUUUCAUCGCUUGAACCGGGAAUCGACCACAUUGGAUUGAUCAAUAAGCAUAAAUUCAAGUCCCCGGGAUAGGGAGACAGCGCUGCGAGACCGUAGAUUUUUUUUUGAAUAGGCAAUGAAUUUUCAGAUGGUUGAUGAAUAUUCAAAUAAAUUUGCUAUUGUUUUUCUUCAG